AUACUUACCUGGCAGGGGAGAUACAAUGAUCACAAAGGUGGCUUUCCCAGGGUGAGGCUUAUCCACUGCACUCCACAUGUGCUAACCCCUGUGAUUUCCCCAAAUGUGGGAAACUCAAUUGCAUAAUUUGUACUAC
ensembl:snRNA U1 U1 spliceosomal RNA